UACGGAAGGCAGCAGUGGGGAAUAUUGCACAAUGGGCGCAAGCCUGAUGCAGCCAUGCCGCGUGUAUGAAAAAGGCCUUCGGGUUGUAAAGUACUUUCAGUCGUGAGGAAGGUGUUAAGGUUAAUAACCUUAGCAAUUGACGUUAGCGACAGAAGAAGCACCGGCUAACUCCGUGCCAGCAGCCGCGGUAAUACGGAGGGUGCGAGCGUUAAUCGGAAUUACUGGGCGUAAAGGGCACGCAGGCGGUUAAUUAAGUUGGAUGUGAAAUCCCCGGGCUUAACCUGGGAAUGGCAUUCAAGACUGGUUAGCUAGAGUCUUGUAGAGGGGGUAGAAUUCCAUGUGUAGCGGUGAAAUGCGUAGAGAUGUGGAGGAAUACCGGUGGCAAAGGCGGCCCCUGGACAAAGACUGACGCUCAUGUGCGAAAGCGUGGGGAGCAAACAGGGAUUAGAUACC
rnacentral:rRNA from 1 species